AGGAGCAAAAAAUUUCCAAUUCCAAUAGGAUUCUCAAGCCAGCCUUCUCAGAACAUCAAGGCUCGAUUGCUUGAAGAGGUUCCCAAGUUGCAGAGAUUGGCUGUAAAGAAGGUGGAGAGGAGGAGAACGGUCACUCCUCGACCUAAUUCUUUAGAUUUGAGGGCCGGGAAUGGAGCUGCAGGCGGCGGUGAAAUGUCGGCGGCUCAGAAGCUGUUGGUCACUUCGACGAGGAGUUUAUCGGUUUCGUUUCAUGGCGAGUCGUACGCGCUCCAGGUGAGUAAAGCGAAGCGACCACCGUCUCUGAUUGCGAGGAAAGGGAUGCCGGAGCGAAGGAAGGCUUCGACUCAGGCGAGGCCGGAUCAGAGCGAGAAUUCCAGACUGAUGGAGCAGUACCGGUGGCCGCCGAGGUUGAGGCCGGACACUUGUAUGACUAGGAACUUGGAUUGUACGGUGGAGAUGAAGAAAUUGAAUGGAUCUGGCUCCAAUGUGGUUAGGGCAUUGCAAAAUUCACUGGGGAAUGAUCUUGAUGGGAGAUUGAGCUAAUGCUGCACUAGCUGCACAGAGGUCGAAUGCAGAGAGAAUACAAUGCGUGAGAAACAACUUCAAAACUCCGGGAAUCUGUUAGAGCCAAAAGAACUGAGUUACAAUUGCUGAGGCAAAAUUUGAAGCUAACUUCCAUUCUCCAGGGGCAAGUCGCCGCAGUCGAUGAGGCGGUGGUGACGACGAGGACGACGACGGGUAUGGUCUUGAUGCAGCUGCUGCAACAUAUUAAUAAUUUUGUGUUGUUGGGUUGCCAAGUUAUUUAUACUUUGUUUUGGUUUUUGUAUGUUUGAUGCAGCUGCUAAUGCUAGAAAAAUUCUGAAAAAAGAGAGGUUUAAGAUGACAAUAUACAAACCGGAGGGUGGGAAUGUAAACAUCUACAAGCAGUUCAAGUUAUACCAUUCAGGUCUGGCUUUCAGCCAGAAAUUGUGACCUUAAGAGAUGAAUCUAAUGGAGUAAGAAGCUCGUGAGGGGGAUCUUGCAAUUUGCAAAUGCUACUGAUUUUCUUUUGUCAUCUUCUUAGAAUUAGUUAUAUAUUUAAAAAGUUCCACCAAGGUUCUUAUCAAUAAAUAGGCAUCAUAUAUUUGAAUUACAAUGCAUUAGUUUUCAUAACUCCGUCAUUUACUAGAAUGACAAAGUAAUCUUUGCAAUAUCAAAAUUUUGUAAGAAAAGAAAAGAAGGGCAUACCUUUAGUUUAUGAG